GGAGAAGUUUUUUUGGAUAAAGACACACAAAUCAGUGUGUAGCAAAGUGAGUCUGGGCGGCUUGUGAACGCUGAGUGAGGUUGCGCCGCAGCUUUCCAGCCUCCCACAAGGCGUGGCUUCGCCUUUUGAUAGAGAGAAGUUUUGUUUUUUUCUCUGAACAUCUCAUUCCUGUGAGCUGAGCACUGAGAGUUCACAAGAACUCUGCCCUCAUCACAACUUCUUCUGCAGAACCAUGAAGACGGUCACUAUUGAGUAUUGUAAAGACUGAAGUUAUGCGUACCGCUACCAGGAACUAGCCGGCGUUCUCCGGCAGAUUCCUGGAGUGAAGGUAAAAGGAGUCACCGGGAGGACAGAUAGCUUUGAGGUAUCCCUGGAGGAUGAACUUCUCUACUCAAAGCUAGAGACGAAGUCGUUUCCAGAUCCUGAGCAGAUGGCGGACAAGGUGAUGGAGAAGGUUCCUGACGAAAACGCCAAGAAGAAAUCCAAGAGACGGAUAUGCUCUGUCCAGUAAAAAGGUGGAGAAGCAAACAGUUAUAUUCACACCGG